rnacentral:lncRNA from 1 species
GGGACAAUGUUUGAGGAUGGAACCACAUGAGGAGAAAGAGAUGAGAAGAAAGGGAGGAAGAGGCAACACUAAUUGUCCACAGAAGAUUGAAGAUUGAGAAAUGGCUCUUCCUCCUCUUGGUCAGAGCCUCAAAAAAAAGACGGUCACACCUACGGAGUGAUCAUGGAGACAAUGCUUUUCCUCUUCUCCAGGAAACCCUAACCUUAACCAUUUAAAUAGUCAAGGUGGACCUAUCUCCAUUCUCCACAAAACCUCAAUUUGAGGCAAGAAAU